ACAGAGGAUCUGCGAAUCAAAUGGGCACCAGAUGUUGACAUUGUCAGCGGUGUCUUAAUUCUCUGUUCCACAGUACUGGCAUC
rnacentral:miRNA from 1 species